UAUGAAGAACGUAGCAAAAUGCGAUAAGUAAUGUGAAUUGCAGAAUUCAGUGAAUCAUCGAAUCUUUGAACGCACAUUGCGCCCGCCAGUAUUCUGGCGGGCAUGCCUGUUCGAGCGUCAUUUCAACCCUCAAGCACAGCUUGGUGUUGGGACUCGCGUUAAUUCGCGUUCCCCAAAUUGAUUGGCGGUCACGUCGAGCUUCCAUAGCGUAGUAGUAAAACCCUCGUUACUGGUAAUCGUCGCGGCCACGCCGUUAAACCCCAACUUCUGAAUGUUGACCUCGGAUCAGGUAGGAAUACCCGCUGAACUUAAGCAUAUCAAUAAGCGGAGGA
rnacentral:misc_RNA from 1 species